rnacentral:lncRNA from 1 species
CGGCCUCUCGUCGCCGGACUCGUGGGAGACGUGCACCACGUUGCCGUGGGCGGGCGCGCCGUAGCCUUCGUCGCGGCCGCCUCCGUACGCCGGAGCGGGGGCGUGGCGCCCGUAGUCACCCCCGCCGUACCCGGCCGGCGCGGGCGCGUGGCGCCCGUAGUCGUCCUCGCGCCCCCCACCGUAGGCCGGGGCGCGGCCGCCGUAGUCGUCCUCGCGCCCCCCACCGUAGGCCGGGGCGCGGCCGCCGUAGUCGUCCUCGCGCCCCCCACCGUAGGCCGGGGCGCGGCCGCCGUAGUCGUCCUCGCGGCCGCCACCGUAGGCGGGGGGCGGGGCGCCGUAGGCGACGUCGUCGGGGCGGCGGCCGUAGGACGGGGGAGGGGCGCCGUAGGGGUCGGGCUCUUGGCGGCCGUAGGGGGCGGGGGGGCGGCGGUCGUCGUCGUCGUCGUCGCGGCGGCCGUGGCCGUGGCCGUGGCGGUGAGGGAACUCCAUGAUUGAUUGGCCUGUCGGUGGUGGUGGUCGGGACUCGGGAAAUGGGAACGCGGGGGGGUGGUGGAGGUGGAUCCGAUCCGAGCCUAAAUAUGUCGCGUCGCCGGAGUACAUGUCGACGGGCGGGUGAGGUGAGCGCGCGACGUGGCGCCAAUGGGACGCGCUCGCACGACCGACCGACCGACCGGCCGGGCCGAUUCAAUUUCGCAACUGGGCGAUGGCGAUCGGUGGAUCGCCACGUGCACAGCUUUGCACUACACACGUCGCGGAUGGUGGAAAAAUCGUGGUCGUAUCUCAUCCGUUGUUUCUUUUCCUUCGGAUGCCGCGGGAGAUCGGAUCGUAUCAAGCCAAACCAGUCAAGUACCAGCUCAACAAAAAUCAACCGAGCACUCAAUUAUUGCUUGAAUUUCAAGAAGAAAAAAAGGGAAAAGGAGAAUUCGAUGUGGUGUGUACGCUGUGGCCCAAUGGUGCAGCUGCGAGUUCUGAUUUCUUGUUUGAUUGGGGUUGCAUGCGCGGAGGCAGCGGGCGCCAGACGGCGAAUCCUAUUUGACGCUGCAAGCGUCGGUUAAAGUGUAUUUUUCUUAACUGACGCCUGCAGUUUUCGGUCAUGGCCGACCCUUCGGGAGGCGGUUUUUCCGUCUUUGUGAAGGUUCCGCAAGCUUUCUAGAUGGAUUUUCUUAUUUAUGUUUUUUAGGACUGGUUCUUCUUUGGUUUAUCUUUUUUUCUUUAUUAUUUUUAUUACUUUUUCAUUUUCGUUUUAAUAUUUAUAUAAUUUUUACUUUUUGAAAAACGCAGCCAUUUCUUGAUUAACUUUUUCUCAAACGAACAAAUAUUUUUUCAGAUCAAUGAACCUUUUUCAGAAUUAUAUGUUCUUUUAUUAAAAUUCUAUGAACAUUUGUGAAUAUCGAUGAACUUUUUUCAAAUUAUGAUGAACGUUUUUCUGAUUGAUGAACUUUUUGAAAUGGAUGAACCUUUUUAAGAAUUGUGAAAAAAAAUUCAGUUCAACAAUUUUUUUAAAAAAAAAUCAAAUUCAUGAACUAAUUUUCAAAAUCCGUUAACUUUUUAAAAAUGUGAGAAGUUUUUUUUCAGAUCACAAUGAAUUUUUUCAAAUUCGUUAACUUUUUGUUUCAAAAUUGGUGAACCAUUUUUCGCUUUUAUGAACCUUUUAUGUUCUUUUUUUUUUGGUUUUUAUUAUAAAAAACCCACCUUGAGCCUGGGCCGGCCCGUUAUGCACGGUGUGUGGGCGCUAGUUCUCCUAGCUGGCGCUUAAGGCGCCGCCUCGCCGCUAUGAGCUCCCGGGCCAUACCCCCCCCCCCCACCCAAGGAACUAGUAGUAAUAUAUUGGCUUAAUUAUACGAUGGACUUAAUCCACUUGUUGACUCGUACCUGCUAAUCGAUCCACACGAUCAACGAUACGCACACACUAAUCCAAUUUGAUGUUAUCGACUCUUUCCUCGGCGACGCACCAGUCGCUAGGGUUUCAUUGACGCCGCCGUGCUGGUCGCCGGUUGUCGCGUCGGGCCGCCACCGCCGACCCGCUGUGCUCCGCCCGUCAUCGACCGUGCUGCCGCCGACCAUGCAUCAAUCGAGUACAGAGAGUCCACACAGGCUAAGAAGUUGAACGGCGCUGCCGCAAGCCCACACACAAUCCCUAACCGAUGCUGUGCAGCUGUGUUGUGAUCAGAAGACGAGGUCUUGAUGUAAUGUAAGGUGUACAAUUGUCUAGUGUCUACAGACCAGGUUUCAUAUUAUUGUGGUUGUCACUUGUUGGUUUGAUUCAUUCAAUAGAUCAAUUAAUCAAUUGUUAGUACUUAGUAGUUAGUAAUAAUUUAUUUUGAUACUUGUGAGAUCAAUUACAUAUUUUCUUUUUACUUAAUGGAAGAACUGAAAACUGCAUAGGUCAUGAAUAAGAGGAAGACAUCACCGAUAAGUAAUGGUUUCAACCAAUUGCUACAAACUCUAACUCUGCGAUUGAAAAUGCAAAUGCAAGUGUCAAGGUAGAUGUCACACAGCAACCCACUGGUCAUAAUGUCCCCAAUCUCAGUUCAGUUGAUAUGCCACCCCCCGAGCAAAAUAUUCAGGUAUCUGUGGAAGUUCUAGAACAGCAAAGAAUUGGAAGCACACCAUUUGAGCGAGACCCUGGAAAGCGCAAAUAAAUUUGGGAACUCCCUCUUGAGAAGCAAAAUGAAGCACCUUGAUCGUAAAUCUCUCGAAAACUCGUCACUAUAGCUUAUCUGUGGUGGCACCAAUACUGUUAGAGAUUGGAGAGCUAGUUUCCUCUUUUUCUUCCUUUUACAUUUAACAUGUAAAUCCGUCAUCCAACGUACCGGGCCAUCUUUGUGCAAAGUUUGCUUGCACACUGACGGUCAUCGAAAGUUGGAUGGAUUUGAGACCCUCUUUCCUGCUCAUCAGCUUAUUGAUUGAUGAUGCCAGGAGGCAGGAGCUCUUUUGUUGAAUAAAGCUCUCUGACUGGAACACAAAAAAAGACACAACCAUUCAAAAAUGAUUGUGACAUUUACAAAAGUAUUCACGCUCUUCAAACAUAUGUUCACAACAUUUUCAGGAAAUGUCUAUACAACAGUAAAGAAAGUUAUGUAACUUCAAAUAAAUUGUACUACCAUUAAAAAAACUUUGUGUCAUCAUAAAAAAGGUUCACACGUUUCAAAAACAUGUUCGUAUUGUUUUUCUACAUAUGUUCGUACCAUUCAAAAAAUGUUUGUGACAUUGAGAAAAAUGUGCAUGUGUUUCGGAAAAAAUGUUGUUGAUUUUUUUAUACAAAUGUAAAAAAAAGUUUGCUUAGUUUAGAAGAAAAAAUAUUAUACCAUAAAAAAUAUGAUCAAAUAUGUAUUCCAAAAAAGUUGGACACGUAUUCAAAAAAAAUGUUCAAAGCAUUUAAAAAAAAACUAAUGUGUAUCAAAAAUAGUUGCUGAUGUACACAAAAAUGUACAACAUAUAUGAAAAAAUAGACAUGUAUUGAGAAAAUGGGGAAAUAUUAAACGUAUACGAAAUAGACAUCUAUUGUGGCAGUUCAAGACAAUAAUCGUAGUCGUCAAAAGGUUCUUCCUUUGCGACAGCAAGAACAACUUGGUGGGUAAUUUGUCAAUUCUUAAAGCCAUUCAUUCACCAUCACUUGAUUAAUUUGUAACUCAGCUAAUUAGCCACUAGCUACGACUAACAUCACUUGCAUAGCUUGUGGGGCAUCACUUUGCUUUCAGCACAAGAAAGUACUUAUAGUUAAUAAGUUAUUUGAGCUAAGUAGCAAUCCAAUGUGCGACGUGGAGUUUCUCAGCCCGCGCUCAACUGAGCUCGAAUGAACAGUAAAAGUAAAGUGAGAAAAACUGCGGCAAACCUAUUUAGCGUGACAGGCAUUGCUUAAAGGAAAAAGUUGCUAACCGGCGCCUGCAGGGCUCCGUAAUGGGCGGGCCCAUGUUGAGAUCCUUCAUGAACUUUUUUUAGCCUGUGAAAUGUUUUAGCCCGUGAUCUUUUUUUGAAAUCGGUAAACUUUUUUGAAAAUCAAUGAUAUUUUUUGGAAAUUCAUGAACAUUUCUGAAAAUCAAUGAACAUAAUUUAAAAUUCAUGAUUUUUUUCAAAAUCAGUGAAAUAUUUUUAAAAAUUGAUGAACUUUUUCAAAAUCAGUGAACUGUUCUUAAAAAUUGAUGAACUUUUUUCAAAAUCAAUGAUUGUUUUUUCGAAUCUUUAAACUUUUUGAAAAUCCAUGAAAAUAUUUUUCAAAAAUAGGUGAACAUUUUCAUAAUAAUUGAACUUUUUUGAAAAUCUGAACUUUUUAAAAUUCUGUGAACUUUUCUCAAAUUUUUAGUGACCAAGACAUUUUUUACAUGGGAGGAGUGCUUCAGGCGCCGGUUUCCCUAACUGGCGCUGAAGGCGCCAAAUACGAGGGGACUUCCUAUACCGUACCUUCAGCGUCCUCUAAGCCAAUUGGCGCUCGAUGUACCUUCCUAUACCGUCCUAUUUAAACUUUUUAAAAAUCCAUGAACAUAUUUUUCAAAAAUAGGUGAACUUUUUUCAUAAUAAUUGAACUUUUUUGAAAAUCUGAACUUUCUAAAAUUCUGUGAACUUUUCUCAAAUUUUUAAUGACCAAGACAUUUUUUACAUGGGAGGAGUGCUGCAGGCGCCGGUUUCCCUAACUGGCGCUGAAGGCGCCAAAUAGGAGGGGACUUCCUAUACCGUACCUUCAGCGUCCUCUAAGCCAAUUGGCGCUCGAUGUACCUUCCUAUACCGUCCUCUUUAAACUUUUUGAAAAUCCAUGAAUAUAUUUUUCAAAAAUAGGUGAACUUUUUUCAUAAUAAUUGAACUUUUUUGAAAAUCUGAACUUUCUUAAAUUCUGUGAACUUUUCUCAAAUUUUUAAUGACCAAGACAUUUUUUACAUUGGCUGGCCCAUGAGGAGGAGUGUUGCACGCGCCGGUUUCCCUAACUGGCGCUGAAGGCGCCAAAUAGGAGGGGACUUCCUAUACCAUACCUUCAGCGUCCUCUAAGCCAAUUGGCGCUCGCUGUAUCGAAUUCAUGGGCCGACCAACGACGCGCAACACAAGCGCAAAAGUCCUAAAAAAUGAUGGGGAUUGAUCUGCGACGGCGCGCUGGCCCAAACUUUUGGCCGGCCGCGCGCGAGCGGCAGGAUCCACCAACCCCGCGUCGUCCGCACCAUUGGAUCCGCAUGCAACAUUUUUUUUUCCUAUGCAGCAAAAUUUCGAUUCGAUGCGAUGCAGCAAUUUUUUUAACGGUUGCAACAAAAAACAAAAAUUGUGCCAAAAAAAUAUUUACGUGAUCGUAGCAAAAAAAUAAAGCUGAUGGUACGUGGUAGCAAAAGUCAAACGCCGAUUGUAACAAAUAUUUAUGUGACGUGUAUGCAACUUUUUUAGUGAACAGUUGCAGCAAACAUGAUGCCGGUUGUAGCAAAAAUUAACACGGUUGUAGCAAAAAGUAAAAAACAUCGAUUGUAACGAAAAAUCCAACGAACUGGUGUUGCAACCAAACGUAUAUGCAGCUUUUUUACUGAAACAAAAAAUAGUAAAAAAACGCUUGCAGCAAAAAUGACGCUGGUUGCAACAUAUUUAGACGAAAAAUGUUGCAUCCAUUGACCAGAAAAGCGCGCGGGUGGAAAAAAUGUUGCAAGGACCCGCGCGCGCGAGGGGAUGACCGGCGCGCGGGUGGGAAACGAUUCCCAAGAAUGAUUGGGGCUUUGACUCGAACUCAGGUCCUCUCAUUCCUACAUCUUCUCUGCUAACCACUAGUCCUAGAAGCUAAUAGUAAUCAACUGAACCUCAAAAAUAUUUAAGAAUACUCUAGCCACGUAGUUCCAAAAUCUGAAAGUUCACAUAUUUUUAAAAAGUUCACGAUUGUUUUCUUAAAAAAGCCUCACGUAUUCGAAAAACAAAAUCACGAAAUUGAAAAUUCAUUAAUUUGAGAAUAAAAUUUCACAAAUUUUCAAAAAAAUCUCUAAUUUAAGAAAAGUUUGUAAGUUUGAAAAACGUUAACAGAUUUGAAAAUGUUCACAAGAUCCACAUAAGUUCACCAAAUUGUUAAAAAAAUUCAAGAAUCUUUAAAAAGUUCCAUCAAAUUCGAAAAAAGUUCAUCAAUUUUGAAAAAAGUUCAACGGAUUUCAAAACAAGUUCAUUGAUAUUUUUUUUUUAAGUUCAUCGAAUCUGCAACAGUUUUAUCAAUUUAAAAAAAGUUCAGUGUAUUUUCAAAAAAGUUUAUCAUUUUUUAUAAAUAUUUUGAACAAAAACUUGGAAAAGGUUCAUUGGAUUCGAAAAAGGUUCACCGAAUUUUGAAAAUUUCAUCAAGUUUAAAAAUAGUUCACCAUUUCGUAAAAAGUUCACAAAUUCAAAGGAAAAAAAUCAUCAAUGUUGGAAAAAGUUCAUUGGUUUUUCUAAAAAAAGUUCAUUGUAUUUGAAAAAGUUUGUCAAAUUUGAAAGAAGUUCACUGAACUAGGAAAGAGUUCAUCAAAUUUUAAAAAUUGUGGAUGGAUUAAAAAAUAAACGACUAAGAAAGAAGGAAAAUUAAAAAGAAAAUAAAAACAAAAACAGAAAACAGAUAAAAGGAAAAAUGAAAAAAGAAGAAACAAUGAUAAGGUAAAAAUGACGUAUGUUGACACAUCAAGGAAUGUGGUUACCACUCUUCGCACCGAGCUAGGAGAUCCUGGGUUCGAAUCCUACUCCUUUCCAAUAUUUGAAUGAACAGACAGACGUAAAUGGGCUAACCGGCGCCUGCAGCAUUAAAUAGGAAAUGCCGAAAUGACGAAUAGGAGGUCCCAAAAAACUGUGUGUGCCUGUGCUAGAUUGGGUCAGGCGCAUGUCUGCCUCGCGCACUAGGCUUGGCCCAUCAUCGGUGUGCUUGAGACGAGGAAGUCUUAAGCGAGACAUAGAGGCUCUCACGAAGUAUAGCAUUGUGGACUGGAGUAGAAUAUAGUUCUUUUAAGCUAAGCCUAACCCCCUUUAUGGCCCAAUACAUAUAUAAACACUACACACUCUGUGCCGGCCUACAUGCACUGACCCGAACUUGUACUCGAUCUGGUCAUGGCCCACAAAAUUGGAUCAUUCUACGUUCGAUUCUCCUUUUCUGCUGAAAAAAAUGCAAGACAAUAGAGCAUUUUUUAGGAAGCAAUACCACUAUAUAUGUUGUCAUUGCAACAAUCUAUUAUAUUAAGAGCAUCUACACCCGGACCCCUCAUACAUGUCUCAAACGCCUCGACAGGCCGUCCGACCAGUGAUCGGUCACAAAAACGCGACCCAACCGAACCUCUUAAAUCCGUCUCAAACGCCCGAGCUGACCGGCACUGCUCAUAUCCGGCCCAAAUAUAGGGCUGAUAUGGGGCGGUCCGGUCACACCGGGUGUGUCUGCCCGGUAAGCCCGGUCCAACACUGACCCCACCGUUGUCCCACAAAAUCCCCACUUUGGCCGCCUCGUUCCGAACUCUAGCUCACUCUCUCUCGCUCUGUCCCCUCCUCCCCCUCUUCGAGUAUGAUCCCAUCGUGUCCAAUGUCGAUCUCCGACAGCCGCUCCGGCUCCGACGGUCGCUCCGGCUCCAACGGCUCGGACAUCGACCCCGAGGAGUUGGCCCUCCGCAUCGCCUUGGAGCGCGGUCCAAGGUGGAGACGGCCGGAAGCUCCGGAUCUAGCGCUUAGCCACUGGUCCCGCGUCGACGGAUCUAUGACAUCGAAGCGGGACCCUCCCGGCACGCGAGCAGCUCCGUCGGGACUGCGUCCGCACCUGCCCUGCGUGCUGCCCUUUCCCCGCCGGCCGCUCCUCCACGCGGGCAUCAUUGGGUCCUAGUACCCGCACCAUUGGCCUGCACGGGCACUCCGGAAUCGGAGGCGCGCACCGCCCACCGUGAGAGGCAGCGGGCAAGGGAGAGGGAAACAAAGCAGUCUGUGCGCCACCGUCGCGAGAUGCCGGCUGAGCCCGACAAGGACGAACGCCUCCUCGCAUGGGUGUACCUCGGGUCCCUCACGACGGCAGAGACGAGUGUUCGACACCUUCGUCAGAAGAACGCCAAGGCGUUUCAGCUUGCUAUUGAGCAGUCGGAGC